GGAAUAUUGGACAAUGGGCGAAAGCCUGAUCCAGCAAUACCGCGUGAGUGAUUAAGGCCUUAGGGUUGUAAAGCUCUUUCACCGGGGACGAUAAUGACGGUACCCGGAGAAGCAGCACCGGCUAACUCCGUGCCAGCAGCCGCGGUAAUACGGAGGGGGCUAGCGUUGUUCGGAAUUACUGGGCGUAAAGCGCGCGUAGGCGGCUGUGCAAGUGGGGCGUGAAAGCCCGGGGCUCAACCCCGGAAUUGCGCUCAAGACUGCACGGCUCGAGUCCGGGAGAGGAGAGUGGAAUUCCCAGUGUAGAGGUGAAAUUCGUAGAUAUUGGGAAGAACACCAGUGGCGAAGGCGGCUCUCUGGCCCGGUACUGACGCUGAGGCGCGAAAGCGUGGGUAGCA
rnacentral:rRNA from 1 species